AGGGUUUGAUCAUGGCUCAGAUUGAACGCUGGCGGAAUGCUUUACACAUGCAAGUCGAACGAUGAAGCCUAGCUUGCUAGGUGAAUUAGUGGCGGACGGGUGAGUAAUAUAUCGGAACGUGUCCAUUAAUGGGGGAUAACUAAUCGAAAGGUUAGCUAAUACCGCAUACGCCCUGAGGGGGAAAGCUGGGGAUCUUCGGACCUAGCGUUAAUGGAGCGGCCGAUACCUGAUUAGCUAGUUGGUGGGGUAAAAGCCUACCAAGGCAACGAUCAGUAGCUGGUCUGAGAGGACGACCAGCCACACUGGGACUGAGACACGGCCCAGACUCCUACGGGAGGCAGCAGUGGGGAAUUUUGGACAAUGGGGGCAACCCUGAUCCAGCCAUUCCGCGUGAGUGAAGAAGGCCUUCGGGUUGUAAAGCUCUUUCGCAAGGGAAGAAACGAUAUAGGUUAAUAGCUUAUGUUAAUGACGGUACCUUGACAA
rnacentral:rRNA from 1 species